CUUGGGCUGAACCGACAGCUGGGGGACCCCACAGCACCGUGACUUGCCCAAAGCCUGGCAGAGCAGAGCAGCCCCUGCCGCCUGCACGCCGGACGCCAGGGCCCACUUACCAUACACACCCACCGUGAACUCGAACUGAUCUGGAACUUUCCAGCUGGGAGGUUUGAUGGAGGGAACUUCCACACCCAGCCCCUGGGAAGAGCUCUUUGAGUCUGAAGAGAAGGCAGAGGAGAAGUUGGUUUGCUGAAGUCCAGAAGAGGCUCUGAGGGAGAGAUGGGGUUUUGCCAUGUUGGCCAGGCUUAUCAUGAACUCCUGACCUCAAGUGAUCUGCCCGCCUCAGCCUCCCAGUGUUGGGAUUACAGGCGUGAGCCACCGUGCCCGGACUAAUAUUGGACACUCCCUCAUGGAAUCCAGCCGCCACACUGCGAGGAUCAGCA
ensembl:lncRNA VSIG10L-AS1 VSIG10L antisense RNA 1